rnacentral:rRNA from 1 species
CCUACGGGAGGCAGCAGUGAGGAAUAUUGGUCAAUGGCCGGAAGGCUGAACCAGCCAAGCCGCGUGAGGGAGGAAGGCGCAGAGCGUCGCAGACCUCUUUUGCCGGGGGACAAAAGGCCGGACUCGUCCGGUCCUGAGGGUACCCGGAGAAAAAGCAUCGGCCAACUCCGUGCCAGCAGCCGCGGUAAUACGGAGGAUGCGAGCGUUAUCCGGAUUCAUGGGGUUUAAAGGGUGCGCAGGGGGGCCUUUAAGCCGGCGGUGAAAUCGGGGGGUUCAACCCCGCCGAGCCGUCGGAACUGGGGGCCUUGAGUGCGGGGGAGGCAUGCGGAAUGCGCGGUGUAGCGGUGAAAUGCAUAGAUAUCGCGCAGAACCCCGAUGGCGAAGGCAGCGUGCCGUGCCGCAACUGACGCUGAGGCACGAAAGCGCGGGGAGCGAACAGGAUUAGAUACCCUUGUAGUC